rnacentral:rRNA from 1 species
AACGAACGCUGGCGGCAGGCUUAGCACAUGCAAGUCGAGCGCCCCGCAAGGGGAGCGGCAGACGGGUGAGUAACGCGUGGGAAUCUACCCAUCUCUACGGAAUAACGCAUGGAAACGUGUGCUAAUACCGUAUACGUCCUUCGGGAGAAAGAUUUAUCGGAGAUGGAUGAGCCCGCGUUGGAUUAGCUAGUUGGUGGGGUAAAGGCCUACCAAGGCGACGAUCCAUAGCUGGUCUGAGAGGAUGAUCAGCCACACUGGGACUGAGACACGGCCCAGACUCCUACGGGAGGCAGCAGUGGGGAAUAUUGGACAAUGGGCGCAAGCCUGAUCCAGCCAUGCCGCGUGAGUGAUGAAGGCCCUAGGGUUGUAAAGCUCUUUCACCGGUGAAGAUAAUGACGGUAACCGGAGAAGAAGCCCCGGCUAACCUCGUGCCAGCCGCCGCUGUAAAAC